rnacentral:lncRNA from 1 species
UUGGCCCCACUGUGCACCACACACUCCUUUCCCAGCCCAGGGGCACGCGAACAAAAUGAGGCUCAAGCUGACCAGGCCGAGCCGGAGGAACGCUGGGGCUUGGCAGCAGAAGGGAUGGGACCAGAGAGAAGGGUGUGGAGGAGACCCCAGUGAGGGCCAGGACAUUUCAGGUAAAGAGAGGUCAUAUCUCCGUACCUCACUUCCUGACACAAACAAGUUUUCACUGUUGUCAGCAACAAAGCCCUAAUAUAGCUGCGGAAGAGAAAAACUGCAUUGCAUUUUGCCUCCUGCAAGCAUCAUCAACAGUUACUGGAGGAACGUAAUUCCAGAAAGCUUGAAAGCCGUGGUGAUGGUAAUUAUGUAUCAAAUGCCUGGUUCUAUUUCUGUUAUUAUUGUUUUGUCAUUUCUGUUUUCCCAGCGAUCUGACUGAACUCGCAGAGGGACAAAUCCAGUUUUUCUUUUUGACUUUUGUCAAACUAAAUCAGGCCUGAUAGAAAACUCAUUGCUCUCCGGGGAAACAAAGUAGGAGCCACGAAAUGUCAUUUUAACAGAGCGUGGGUUUGGUGACUGUAGGAAAGGAUUUGAGGACGCUCCUUCUGUUCGGCUUCCUAUGUCAUGAGCACAGGCUCCACGCACGCACAGACACCACGGCUCCCGGAUGCUGUGGCUCCCCGAUCGGGGCUCCUGCAGCGCCAGAAGCCCCUCCGGGAUGCUUCGAGGGGCUCCCGGUGGGUGGAGGUACGGACGCCGCUGCGGCCGCCGCCGCCAGUCCUGCUGCUGUUGUUGCUGCUGCAGUCACGUGGGAGCCCCUUUAAGUUUCCAUAGAGAGGCCUCUCUGGUGUCACAUGAUGGACAUGAUAUAAUGAAACAACAUUGUGGAGAGGAAAGCAUUAGGGGAGCCCACGGCUACAAAAACAAGUGAGUGAGAAGAGGUGGGAGGAAGAGAAACUACGCCACCUCCCCUGCAGCCGAGUGCACGCAGCAGCCUGGCGUGACAAGUGGGCGACGCCGGGGGGCAGGGAGCCGGGGUCCUUGGCCCUGGCCGGGGACCCCACCGCCCACCGCGCGGAGGACAACUUUUAGCCGGCAGCCCAGACCAGCGCGGCACCUGUCUCCGGAGUCUCCACCGCUCCUCCCGAUUCAUCCCAGGGAAAUUCUCAAGAAUACGCUCUACAAAUCUACGUGCGCAUCAUUUUCACCUCGCGUCGCGCCCGGGAGGAAGGAACGAGGCAAGGAGCUAAAGCAGCGUGCGUUCAGCCCUGGGGCAUUUUAUUAAUGCUUUUACGAGUUAGAAGAGUUGGGAUAAUUUGCCAUCUGGAGUUUCUCUGCCUUGCUGAUCUGAGCUCAGACCUGCCAAUUUACCAGAGAUAAUUGAUAACACCCUGUAACAGCUGAGAGGAAAAUGGAAGAAACGGAGAUACUUUUAGUGAAGCAGAAUAAACCACUGAACAGUCUGUUUCAUCUUCAUAAAAACGCUGCUUUCAGUGCACUGGAUUUAUUUUACAACCCACUAAUGGAUUACCCUACAGUUUGAAAAACAUUGCGUUAGACCAGUUUGACUGUUGUCAAGAACCAAAAAAGGAAAAAUGAGGAAGCUGUGAGUACCAGUGGAAGGAACGAGCCAGGAAGAGGGACUGGAACCAUCUCAGAAGCCAUGCCCCUCAGGCUGGAACUUGCCCUGUCUCCUCGCAGAUGAGGUAGGAGGCUCAGCACGGGCUGGUGGGAGCAGCCCACAGCAGCAGUGAGGGUCAGUGGGCCUGUGAGUUAAGAAGAAGGUGGCACAGAGCGAGGGUCUCUGGAUCCUGACUGUUUGACUUUUCCAUGAUUAGGAUAAGUAGCCAGGGCUUGGCUAGUUGGAGAGUUACUCGAACCUCAGGUGACAGUUGUAAGGCAGCACAUAGUGAAAAAGAGUCCUAGCCUGGGAAAGUCCAAAACCUUAGGUCUGGUUUCAGUUCACUCACCUAUCUCUGUGACAUAGCAAAGUCUGUUAAUUUCUCUAAUUUUCUGAUUAGUAGUAUAGUUGCAGGAAUGAAAUAAAAAUGGUCCUGAUUACUCAGAGAUUCAUUUACUGAUUACUCUUUUUGUGACCUGAAUAAAGAGUACAACAUCUCUCAAAAGGUAACAAUAUGAUGUUUCAGGAAAUUAGAGAAGUUAAGAGACUUUGCUGUAUUUACUAUACAGAUAGUUGACUGACAGCUGAGCCCGGACCCAAGAUUCAUUUAUAAAAUGAAGGAGUUGAGAAGUACAUACUCUGAGGUUUAUCCUAAAUAAACUGAAGUCUAGGCAAGUGGCUGAGCUAGGUUUGCCAUGAAUCAAUCUGCUGAGUAUAUUUCUUGGUAACUAGUUCAUCUUUCCUUAAUUCAGUCAACAAAUAUGAUAUCAAGUUUAGUAAGAUGAUGACAGUUGUCAUGUAAUACUCCAUCUGGAAGAUUGUAUGCUUCUCAGCUUCCCUAACUUUUCUUAAUCUACCUUAAGCUUCCUUUCUGAAAGGUUUCUGUCUUUCCUAACAGUCUCUUCUUUCCGCCAGCUACCUCUUGUGUUUAAGAAUUAAAGGAAGAUGAGCUAGGAAUCAAGAAAUACGCAGAACUGAUUCCUGUCACUGGCGCCACCCUGCCACUUGCCCAGAGCUGUGGUAUAAAUUUUUUUAAUAGGCUGAAAUAAAAAUAUGAAUAGCAUUUUGGUAUUAAGCAUUAAAUUGAUAAAGGCUAUGAGAUACACCUGCUCUCAACCAUGUUAAUUUUUUAUUAUUGGUAUUAAUAAAUUAUUACUUACUAACAUAUUAACAAGAAUUGCAUUGAGAAACAAAGCAUCCACAGGCCAAAUCUUCUGAAUUUCAAAUGUUUAUAUUAAUGCGUUGUAUUCUAGAAAAGUAGAAUUGUCUUAAGUAGCUUUGUAAUAUAAAGUCAUCUAUCAGCCCAUUACACCUAUUAGAAUGUUUUAACCUUUAUUUCCCACUUUUUUGUUUCUAGACUGAGUGUACUUGGUCUGGUAUUUGUGGCAUAACUUACGGAACACAUAAGAAUGAUACAGAUACUAUUUAAUGAUGACCUAAUACAAGCUUAGAUAGCUAAGGUGAAAGCUUCUAUGGCCUUAACAUUUUCCUCUUGAAGAAUGUAUUUUCUGUAAUAAAAUACAGUGGCUACUUGAAAUCUAUAAACUUAUGUGAGGUCUGGAUAAAUCUGAGCAACUUUCUUCUUUGUGCUCCAGGAACCUACGCACUAUAUAUAUAAAUAAAGCUUAAGUAAACAUCACUGCAAAAAAAAAAAAAAAAAA